rnacentral:lncRNA from 1 species
UGAUAAAUGAAUUUACUUAAAAUAAGAUUUCCAUUAGUUAUUUUCAUGAUUUUUACUAACCUUCAUUUUUGUAUCGGUGAGUAAUGUGAUAUUCUUACUGGGCUAGUGUAGCUCACUCUUUCAUUAAACAUUUCAGAUUAAGAGGACCAAAAUCCAGGUCCUAAUCCACAUGAGGGUUGCAAGUAGGACAUUCAGUUUGUUUACUUUUCAUUUAUUUAUUUGAUUAUUAGUUGUUCUUUUAGAAUGAUCAUUCUCGUUGCACUAUUGGUAUUAUGAAUUAUUGUUUAAGGAAUGUAACCCUAACGCUAUUAUUUCGCUUCC